AGAGUUUGAUCCUGGCUCAGGAUGAACGCUGGCGGCGUGCUUAACACAUGCAAGUCGAACGAAGCAUAGGAGUGGAAUUUUUCGGAAGGAAACAACUAUGACUGAGUGGCGGACGGGUGAGUAACGCGUGGGUAACCUGCCUCAUACAGGGGGAUAACAGUUAGAAAUGACUGCUAAUACCGCAUAAGCGCACAAAACCGCAUGGUUUGGUGUGAAAAACUGAGGUGGUAUGAGAUGGACCCGCGUCUGAUUAGCUAGUUGGAGAGGUAACGGCUCACCAAGGCAACGAUCAGUAGCCGACCUGAGAGGGUGACCGGCCACAUUGGGACUGAGACACGGCCCAAACUCCUACGGGAGGCAGCAGUGGGGAAUAUUGCACAAUGGGGGAAACCCUGAUGCAGCAACGCCGCGUGAGUGAAGAAGUAUUUCGGUAUGUAAAGCUCUAUCAGCAGGGAAGAAGAGAGACGGUACCUGACUAAGAAGCCCCGGCUAACUACGUGCCAGCAGCCGCGGUAAUACGUAGGGGGCAAGCGUUAUCCGGAUUUACUGGGUGUAAAGGGAGCGU
rnacentral:rRNA from 1 species